AUACGGAGGGUGCGAGCGUUGUUCGGAAUUAUUGGGCGUAAAGAGCAUGUAGGCGGUCUGUUAAGUCUGGUGUGAAAGCCCGGGGCUCAACCCCGGAAGUGCAUUGGAUACUGGCAGACUUGAGUAUGGGAGAGGAAAGCGGAAUUCCGAGUGUAGGAGUGAAAUCCGUAGAUAUUCGGAGGAACACCAGUGGCGAAGGCGGCUUUCUGGACCAAUACUGACGCUGAGACGCGAAAGCGUGGGGAGCAAACAGGAUUAGAAACCCCGGUAGUCC
rnacentral:rRNA from 1 species